UACGAAGGGGGCUAGCGUUGUUCGGAAUUACUGGGCGUAAAGCGCACGUAGGCGGAUUGUUUAGUGAGGGGUGAAAUCCCAGGGCUCAACCCUGGAACUGCCUCUCAUACUGGCAAUCUCGAGUUCGAGAGAGGUGAGUGGAAUUCCGAGUGUAGAGGUGAAAUUCGUAGAUAUUCGGAGGAACACCAGUGGCGAAGGCGGCUCACUGGCUCGAUACUGACGCUGAGGUGCGAAAGCGUGGGGAGCAAACAGG
rnacentral:rRNA from 1 species